GCUUGUUUGAAGGAGCUUCGCAGCUGCGGGUAGAAAACGGAGACAGAGAGACCGAGACAAUGAGCAGUCGAGGAAUACACUCCCAAAUAUGCAGGACUGAGAGGGAGAGAAGGGAAAGUGGAGGAAAACAGCUGUGAGAAAGUGCAACGUCCAUGUUGGAGCCCACACUCGAAUGACUGGUUGCGCUGGCGACGCUGCUGACACUGUCAGAGGAGUGUUGCCUCCUGAUGCGCAAGUCCGGCUGCUGGUUCUGCUGCUGCUGCUGUUGUUGUUGUGGACUGCCGUUACUGCCAGCUGAGGAGAGACAGGAAAUGCAUGUGUUUGUCUAUGUAUUAGGCUGAAAUAUGUCUUCCAUAAAAUAUCAAACUUCAA